rnacentral:rRNA from 1 species
GACGAACGCUGGCGGCGUGCUUAACACAUGCAAGUCGAACGAAGUGGCGAACGGGUGAGUAACGCGUAAUCACCCUGCCCUUCAGAGGGGGACAACAGUUGGAAACGACUGCUAAUACCGCAUACUGAAGGAGGGGAUCGCGUCUGAUUAGCGAGUUGGGGGGGAAACGGCCCACCAAGGCGAUGAUCAGUAGCCGGUCUGAGAGGGUGAACGGCGACAUUGGGACUGAGACACGGCCCAGACUCCUACGGGAGGCAGCAGUGGGGAAUCUUCCGCAAUGGACGGAAGUCUGACGGAGCAACGCCGCGUGAGUGAUGACGGCAUUCGGGUUGUAAAGCUCUGUUGAUCGGGAAGCGGUACCGGAAUAGAAAGCCACGGCUAACUACGUGCCAGCAGCCGCGGUAAUUC